CCCUGAAGAAAGAAAAGAAAGAAGAUGAGUUCCUACAAGAUAGCAAUCCUUCUGAUGGUGCUGCUGAUAGUACCUGACAGCCGAGAAGAAACUCUUGAGUCUGGAAGACACCUCCUACAAAGCAUCAACUGUCCUUCGGCUUGUGACUACCGUUGCUCCAAAGCCUCUUUGCACAACCGCUGCAUAAAGUUCUGCAACAUCUGCUGCCGGAAGUGCAAUUGCGUUCCGCCAGGCACAGCUGGUAACAAGGAGAAAUGCCCCUGCUACAACAACAUAAAGAACUCAAAAGGGGGACCAAAAUGCCCGUGAGUUUGGAGGAAACAAAGAUCUCGUCAAGUUUCCAAAACUUCUAUCACUGCUUCAAGUGCCGGGAGUCCAUUGAAGGGAAGGAAAACGGACGAGGCUCAUACCUUGCAUAACUGGCCUCUUACUACAAAAAGAAAAAUCCGCCGCCUUGUACUUCAUUUUAGAACGUAAUCAAGGUCCGCUCCAAUCUCUGCUA